UACGGAGGGUGCAAACGUUGCUCGGAAUCAUUGGGCGUAAAGCGCACGUAGGCGGCUCGUUAAGUCGGAUGUGAAAGCCCCUGGGCUCAACCCAGGAAGUGCAUACGAAACUGGCGAGCUUGAGUAUGGAAGAGGGUCGCGGAAUUCCCGGUGUAGCGGUGAAAUGCGUAGAGUAUCGGAAGGAACAUCAGUGGCGAAAAGCGACUUCCUGGACCA
rnacentral:rRNA from 1 species